GAAUUGGCUGAAAUGCGUGAGUGUCACGCUCAAAGCGUGAGAGUUGGCAGCCCUGUAUUGAAUGAUCAUAAUGAAUGGCGAUGCUGAACUCCUGCAUCUAUUGUUUAUGUUUCUAUGACAUAAAUGUAGAUAAGUUAGUGAGUAUGUUUGUAAACCGCAUAAAAUUGGUGAGGUUGAGGAGUGUGAGGAAAGCUGUCAAAUACCUGAAUACAGCAGGAUAUACCUGUAGAUCAGCUACGGAAAUGGGCUGAGAAAUGCCAGGUGGCGUUACAUUCCAGCAAGUGCAAGUUGUUGAAUUCUGGGAUAUCAAAUUUCAGCAGAUGGUUUACUGUUAAUAGCAAGAACCUUGACGGCAUUGAGCUACAGAAGGGUUUUAGGAUUGAAGUCCAUAGCUCUCUGAAAGUGGCAACACAAAUAGAUAGAGUGGUGCAUAAUUGAAAGUUAUUAAUGGUGAAUUCAUUUGUUUAGUUCCAGUUACUGGAUAAUUUCGAUUUACUAUUCAGAUAGUGAGGAAGUCACCGCAGUGGUGCAAUGGUAGAGCUUCUGCCUGACAGUGCCUGAGACCCGGGUCGAUCUUGACUACGCGUGCUUGUCUGUACAGAGAUUGUACAUUCUCUCCGUGACCUGAUUGGGUUUUCUCCGAGAUCUUCAGUUUCCUUCCACACUCCAAAGAUGUACAGGUUUGCAGGCUAAUUGGUUUGGUAUAAACGUAAAUUGUCCCUAAUGUGUGUGGGAUAGUGUUAGUGUGCAGGGAUCACUGGGCAGUGUGGACUUGGGGGCCAAAGGGCCUGUUUCCAUACUGUAUCUCUAAAUUAAACUAAAAUCAACAAGUACUGGCUUUAUCUUAACAGUGGAUUCCAACAACAUAAUCUUCUCAUUCAAUAGAAAACCUUAGAUUAAAAAAAAAUAGGUUAAAUGUGCAAGCAGAGAAAACUGGAGGCAAAACUGUCCUUGGAGAUUAUUGUUCUGACUACACAUGUACCUGGGUAGACCACUGACUGAGUUCAAUACUGUCAUCUGGCAACUGGCAAAAAUUGAGUUGGACAAGAUCCUCAGUAAAUCUUACAAUUUUAUCUGUCACCAUUAAUUUAGUUGCAGACACCAAAUCUCCUGCCCCUGCAUCCUUUUAUCACCAAGAAAUUCAAGGGCACAGUGUACAGAGAAAACCUCCAAUCUGCAGGUUCUUUGCUGACUCGUGACUUGGAAAUGUGUUACUGUUACUACAUUGUGACUGGAUCUAAACACUAGACAUCAACAGCACUGUGGGAGCACUUUAUACAGAAGGACUGCACCAGUUCCAGAGUGCCUCAUUUUCACUUGCUAGAAUGGAUUUAGGAACAGAUGUUGGUAUGUCUGACCAAUGUUCAUGCCUUGAGAGUUUAAUAAAUUCUGAGUUGGUCAUGGUUCCAUCAGUGCUUCCACAUCUUAUUUUUUCUUUCCUGAAAUAGAAUUCCAAAUUACCUGGAAUUUGAUGGUAUUUCCCAGCCCAGUAAUCCUUCUCCAACAGCGCAUGUACGACUGCCGCCCUAACUGCGCAUGCGUGGAUACCAGGCCUACUAUGCAUGCGCGGGGAGUCGGCGUCCCUAACGCAUCACCAGUGCCAUUUUCAAUUGUGAAACGGCUGAUGGGCCUCCCCCAACUGCGCAGGCACGGAUGGUCGGAAAUAUACAGAAAAAAAUUGGAUUUUACUUCGGAGUCACGUGAGUGACUACGUGAAGAACCCCUCCAGGAUGCAUGCGUGCCAUAUCGCUAAACGCAUUGCAACGAGUCACAGCAGGGGGAACAACGUUCCCCUUAGCGGGAAAAAUUGAAAGCAGAGAGCAGCAGGACAAGCUGGAAAUUGAACAAGUUUAUAUUUGAUGCUGCUGAAAGCAGACUCUGGUAUUCCGGUCCAAAUACAGUCAAAUGUUACCAUUCAGAAUAAGGAGCCAGCCUGCCAAGUGGAAAAUGAUGACUGAAAAGAUCUAUUGUUAAUUUAACUGUGUUUCUAAAUUAACGUGGCAAGUCUGAAUUGUUGCUUUAAUUUUCUCUCUUCAUAGCUUGUGUGAGUUAAGAUACGUGUAAGUAAAUGAACCCUGAUGAAUAUCCAAUUUGCAAACUAACUACAGUGUUUAUUAUCAUUUGUACAAUCCUAAAAAGAGUGAACAAUCAGUCCAUUUUUGGAUUCCUGAUUAAUGUUUUCUUUCUUUCCAAUUUUCAGCAUCUUUCCUCCAACUCUAAAUUCCCGAAAGUCGUAUCUUCCAAAAUCAAUGUUGUUUUCAUUGAUGUCUCACACUGUAUUCAAUCUCUCGUAGUGUCCUGUAAAACCUGUGUCAAUGCUCAUUCUUCACCCACUGAUUGUUCUUCAUUCUAAGCUAUUAUGUUCUGCUCUCUCACUCGUGUUUUGUAAUGUGUCAUUACAAGCUGAUUCCACACUCACUCCCAGGGAUGCAACGGCCAUUUAGUAUCUCAUGCCAAUAAAAUAUCAGCCCUUAGUGAUAGGUGGGUUCAGGAAAUAUUCACGAGAAUGGUUGCAGUCAGGAAGGAUUUCUGUACAAUGAGACAACGGGAUUUGCAGUUGCUGUAAUCUUGAGCAAAACAAAAAAGGUUGGAGAAAUUCAGCUGGUCAGGCCACAAAAAGCUGGAGUAACUCAGCGGGUCAGACAGCAUCUCUGGAGAAAGUAAGUAGUAAGUAAGUACGUUUUAUUUAUAUAGCACGUUUUAAGUCAACUCGCAUUGACACCAAAGUGCUUUACAUAAAUUAAAUAAUAAGUCCCAUUACAAACC